rnacentral:rRNA from 1 species
AUGGUUAAGUUAGAAAGGGCGCACGGUGGAUGCCUUGGCACUAGGAGCCGAUGAAGGACGGGACGAACACCGAUAUGCUUCGGGGAGCUGUAAGCAAGCUUUGAUCCGGAGAUUUCCGAAUGGGGAAACCCACUGCUCGUAAUGGAGUAGUAUCCAUACUUGAAUACAUAGAGUAUGAGAAGGCAUACCCGGGGAACUGAAACAUCUAAGUACCCGGAGGAAGAGAAAGCAAAUGCGAUUCCCUGAGUAGCGGCGAGCGAAACGGGAACAGCCCAAACCAAGAGGCUUGCCUCUUGGGGUUGUAGGACACUCUAUACGGAGUUACAAAGGAACGAUAUAAGCGAAGAGGUCUGGAAAGGCCCGCCAAAGAAGGUAACAGCCCUGUAACUGAAAUGUUGUUCUCUCCAGAGUGGAUCCUGAGUACGGCGGAACACGUGAAAUUCCGUCGGAAUCCGGGAGGACCAUCUCCCAAGGCUAAAUACUCCCUAGUGACCGAUAGUGAACCAGUACCGUGAGGGAAAGGUGAAAAGCACCCCGGAAGGGGAGUGAAAUAGAUCCUGAAACCGUGUGCCUACAAGUAGUCAGAGCCCGUUAAAGGGUGAUGGCGUGCCUUUUGUAGAAUGAACCGGCGAGUUACGAUCCCGUGCAAGGUUAAGCAGAAGAUGCGGAGCCGCAGCGAAAGCGAGUCUGAAUAGGGCGCAUGAGUACGUGGUCGUAGACCCGAAACCAGGUGAUCUACCCAUGUCCAGGGUGAAGUUCAGGUAACACUGAAUGGAGGCCCGAACCCACGCACGUUGAAAAGUGCGGGGAUGAGGUGUGGGUAGGGGUGAAAUGCCAAUCGAACCUGGAGAUAGCUGGUUCUCUCCGAAAUAGCUUUAGGGCUAGCCUCAAGGUAAGAGUCUCGGAGGUAGAGCACUGAUUGGACUAGGGGCCCCUACCGGGUUACCGAAUUCAGUCAAACUCCGAAUGCCGAUGACUUAUCCUUGGGAGUCAGACUGCGAGUGAUAAGAUCCGUAGUCGAAAGGGAAACAGCCCAGACCGCCAGCUAAGGUCCCAAAGUAUACGUUAAGUGGAAAAGGAUGUGGAGUUGCUUAGACAACCAGGAUGUUGGCUUAGAAGCAGCCACCAUUUAAAGAGUGCGUAAUAGCUCACUGGUCGAGUGACUCUGCGCCGAAAAUGUACCGGGGCUAAACGUAUCACCGAAGCUGCGGACUGUUCUAACGAACAGUGGUAGGAGAGCGUUCUAAGUGCUGUGAAGUCAGACCGGAAGGACUGGUGGAGCGCUUAGAAGUGAGAAUGCCGGUAUGAGUAGCGAAAGACGGGUGAGAAUCCCGUCCACCGAAUGCCUAAGGUUUCCUGAGGAAGGCUCGUCCGCUCAGGGUUAGUCGGGACCUAAGCCGAGGCCGAAAGGCGUAGGCGAUGGACAACAGGUUGAUAUUCCUGUACCACCUCCUCACCAUUUGAGCAAUGGGGGGACGCAGGAGGAUAGGGUAAGCGCGGUAUUGGAUAUCCGCGUCCAAGCAGUUAGGCUGGGAAAUAGGCAAAUCCGUUUCCCGUGAAGGCUGAGCUGUGAUGGCGAGCGAAAUUUAGUAGCGAAGUUCCUGAUUCCACACUGCCAAGAAAAGCCUCUAGCGAGGUGAGAGGUGCCCGUACCGCAAACCGACACAGGUAGGCGAGGAGAGAAUCCUAAGGUGAUCGAGAGAACUCUCGUUAAGGAACUCGGCAAAAUGACCCCGUAACUUCGGGAGAAGGGGUGCUUCUUAGGGUGUUAAAGCCCCGAGAAGCCGCAGUGAAUAGGCCCAGGCGACUGUUUAGCAAAAACACAGGUCUCUGCGAAGCCGUAAGGCGAAGUAUAGGGGCUGACGCCUGCCCGGUGCUGGAAGGUUAAGAGGAGCGCUUAGCGUAAGCGAAGGUGCGAAUUGAAGCC